rnacentral:tRNA from 1 species
GGCGCAGUGGCUGAGCGGUAAAGCACUUGGCUUCUGACCAGGUGUCCUGGGUUCGAAUCCUGGUGAAGUCU